rnacentral:rRNA from 1 species
AGAGUUUGAUCAUGGCUCAGAUUGAACGCUGGCGGCAGGCCUAACACAUGCAAGUCGAACGGUAACAGGAAGAAGCUUGCUUCUUUGCUGACGAGUGGCGGACGGGUGAGUAAUGUCUGGGAAACUGCCUGAUGGAGGGGGAUAACUACUGGAAACGGUAGCUAAUACCGCAUAACGUCGCAAGACCAAAGAGGGGGACCUUCGGGCCUCUUGCCAUCGGAUGUGCCCAGAUGGGAUUAGCUUGUUGGUGGGGUAACGGCUCACCAAGGCGACGAUCCCUAGCUGGUCUGAGAGGAUGACCAGCCACACUGGAACUGAGACACGGUCCAGACUCCUACGGGAGGCAGCAGUGGGGAAUAUUGCACAAUGGGCGCAAGCCUGAUGCAGCGACGCCGCGUGAGGGAUGGAGGCCUUCGGGUUGUAAACCUCUUUUAUCGGGGAGCAAGCGAGAGUGAGUUUACCCGUUGAAUAAGCACCGGCUAACUACGUGCCAGCAGCCGCGGUAAUACGUAGGGUGCAAGCGUUAUCCGGAAUUAUUGGGCGUAAAGGGCUCGUAGGCGGUUCGUCGCGUCCGGUGUGAAAGUCCAUCGCUUAACGGUGGAUCCGCGCCGGGUACGGGCGGGCUUGAGUGCGGUAGGGGAGACUGGAAUUCCCGGUGUAACGGUGGAAUGUGUAGAUAUCGGGAAGAACACCAAUGGCGAAGGCAGGUCUCUGGGCCGUCACUGACGCUGAGGAGCGAAAGCGUGGGGAGCGAACAGGAUUAGAUACCCUGGUAGUCCACGCCGUAAACGGUGGAUGCUGGAUGUGGGGACCAUUCCACGGUCUCCGUGUCGGAGCCAACGCGUUAAGCAUCCCGCCUGGGGAGUACGGCCGCAAGGCUAAAACUCAAAGAAAUUGACGGGGGCCCGCACAAGCGGCGGAGCAUGCGGAUUAAUUCGAUGCAACGCGAAGAACCUUACCUGGGCUUGACAUGUUCCCGACAGCCCCAGAGAUGGGGCCUCCCUUCGGGGCGGGUUCACAGGUGGUGCAUGGUCGUCGUCAGCUCGUGUCGUGAGAUGUUGGGUUAAGUCCCGCAACGAGCGCAACCCUCGCCCCGUGUUGCCAGCGGAUUAUGCCGGGAACUCACGGGGGACCGCCGGGGUUAACUCGGAGGAAGGUGGGGAUGACGUCAGAUCAUCAUGCCCCUUACGUCCAGGGCUUCACGCAUGCUACAAUGGCCGGUACAACGGGAUGCGACGCGGCGACGCGGAGCGGAUCCCUGAAAACCGGUCUCAGUUCGGAUCGCAGUCUGCAACUCGACUGCGUGAAGGCGGAGUCGCUAGUAAUCGCGAAUCAGCAACGUCGCGGUGAAUGCGUUCCCGGGCCUUGUACACACCGCCCGUCAAGUCAUGAAAGUGGGCAGCACCCGAAGCCGGUGGCCUAACCCCUUGUGGGAUGGAGCCGUCUAAGGUGAGGCUCGUGAUUGGGACUAAGUCGUAACAAGGUAGCCGUACCGGAAGGUGCGGCUG